rnacentral:rRNA from 1 species
CGCGAAUUUGCCCUUCGGGGUGCAGCAGGCGCGAAAACUUUACAAUGCUGGAAACAGCGAUAAGGGGACCUCGAGUGCCAGGUUACAAUUCUGGCUGUCCUGAUGCCUAAAAAACAUUGCAUAGCAAGGGCCGGGCAAGACCGGUGCCAGCCGCCGCGGUAACACCGGCGGCUCGAGUGGUAACCGUUAUUAUUGGGUCUAAAGGGUCUGUAGCCGGUCUGAUAAGUCUCUUGGGAAAUCUGACAGCUUAACUGUCAGGCUUUCAGGAGAUACUGUCUGGCUCGAAGCCGGGAGAGGUGAGAGGUACUUCAGGGGUAGGAGUGAAAUCUUGUAAUCCUUGAAAGACCACCUGUGGCGAAGGCGUCUCACCAGAACGGACCUGACGGCAAGGGACGAAAGCUAGGGGCACGAACCGGAUUAGAUACCCGGGUAGUCCUAGCCGUAAACGAUACUCGCUAGGUGUCAGGCAUGGUGCGACCGUUGUCGGUGCCGUAGGGAAGCCGUGAAGCGAGCCACCUGGGAAGUACGGCCGCAAGGCUGAAACUUAAAGGAAUUGGCGGGGGAGCAC